UGUUAUUUUAAUACCUAACGAUUUACCGUGUUCCUGAAUUCCUAAUGUCGCAAUAUAUAAUAAUAUUAAAACUAUAUAUUCCAAUUAAUAUUUUAUUUUUAUAAAAAAAUUGAAUUUAAAAUUUUCUGUUCUAUUAUUUUUAAAAUUGCCAAUUUUAUUUUAAAAAAGUGAGUGAGAAGUCAGCCGCGCGCAAAUUGUUGCUGGUUAUCUAAAUUAAAUAAUCACUUAGUUAAUUAUUUCUCAACUCAAAUUUUUGUUUAUUAUUAUUGCGUGUCAGAGCAUUAUAAUUAAACUAUUUAUAAUAUAUAAUAGAAAUUAAAUAAUUUUGAUUAAAUUUUAAAAUAGCCAGAAAAUCUUAAUGACUCAAUGAAAAAUUAAUUCAAAAUUGUACCUACAUAAUUAAUUUGAAAAAAAUGUUUGUUUGUAGAAUAAAUUACGAAGAGUAUAAUUAAAAAAAUUGAUUGAUAUUUAUAGCGUGUGAAUGCACAUAUAUAUUUGAUUGUGACUAUGUAGUGAGGGUGAAAUAUCAUUAUUUAUUUUAAACGAAUGAGUUGUUUGCUGCUACUACUGCAACUAUUGCUAGCUGCCGUGAGUCGAAUCUCGUUUCUGAAUUACACGCGGGUGUUUAUCACUGAGAAACAAGCUCUCUGUGCCCUGAAUAUCAAGUUCCUCGUCUUCAUCUUCGUUUUAAGCACAGGAAAGCAAGAUUUCAUAUUUCAGAAGUUGUAUAAUGAUAACAAUAAUGUCGGCAUUAGUCUAGUUUCACUGUGCUACGCCGUCUAAAUGCCCUAAAUCAACAGCAUGUGUUUGUUGCUUGCUAGCAUAAGUUCUGAUUUAGAAGGAGUUUACACCGUAAGCCUUAAAUAUAAGCCUCCGCGCGCAUAAACGGAUAUACCUCCAGGAGCAUAUAUUUGCGCCUGCGCGAACACGUGGUCAAGGCAAACUCUUUCACAACACAGCUGCAGGCAAACACUUUGCGCAGACGCAAGUAUAUCCUCAUGGAGGCAUAUCCGUUUAUGCUCGCGGAGGCUUAUAUUUAAGGCUUACGGUGUAAACUCCUUCAUACUCGCAAAUAUAUAUACUUACAAAUAGGACUUACAAAUACUACUACUUACUUACAAAUAGAUAUUUACUCAACAUUAUGUGUAAAGUUUCGUUUCUCUUGUUUCUUUUUAAAAAAAAAAGUAAAUAAUUUUUUUAUAUUAGUAACUUACUAUACUAAAUUGUUUACCAAAAUAGUAAAUUUCAAGAAUUUAUUUCUUGAAUUAAAAAUUUUUAAUUCCUAAAUUUUUUCCCCUAAAAAAAGGUCAUUCAUACUUUUCCCUCUUUUUCUAAUCAACAAAAAAUUUUCUUUUGCAGGGACGUUACGCAUCUAUCAUCAAGUGUUGACAUAUUUCACAGUCGUUAAUGAGAGGUCGAAGGAGAAACAAACAAUCAGCAAGGCGUCAACAUGCAAUGUGAAAAGAUACUUGGACACCUAUUAUUAUGAACUUUGUCGCAUCACAAUUUCACCAAAAAUGAUAAACGUAUUUUAUUUAGCAGUCUUUAAUAAGAAGUCGACAGAGUAAGGACUCAAUAAAAUACCGAAGCAUGACUCGACAUUGACCGGAAAUCUUCAAAAGCUGAGUUCACCAAAGAUAUGCAAGAGUCUUAAAACUUGGACACAUUUUUGAAGAAAGGAAUUCAUAUUAAAUGCUCUGGUCAUUCUUUAUAAUGAUCAUCGAAGAGAAGUCGACAACGAAACAAGAGUCAAAAGAAGAUACCGUCGCGUGAUUGAAAAAUGUUUUAAAAAUCUUCGAUAUCUCGUGAAGUAUUUAGCUUUUAUUGUAUUAGGAAAUAUUAUUACUUAGCUAGGGAUUUUGAAACUAAAAAAAUGCAAAUGUAUUAGCUAGGAAAUUAUCAAAGUAUGUAAGUAGUUUUAAGCAGAAAACAAAAUUUAUUCUUCAAGAAGAUUCAUCAUCCGGCGUCAACUUUAUCUCAACAUUAAGGGGAUAAUAAGAUUCAAAACUAGAAGGAGGAGAAAACUGAAAAUCGAUUCAUCAUCUAACUGGAGGAUUUUUAACUACUAUAAUGACGAUUUUCUCUUUUUUGUAUUAAAAAUUUAUAACUUAGAACCGAAUAUUCUUUUGUACAAUCUUUCAUAAAAAGAUAAUAAACUGUUAAAUAAUAAAUGAAAUGUAAUAAACUAA